rnacentral:rRNA from 1 species
AUUGAACGCUGGCGGCAGGCUUAACACAUGCAAGUCGAGCGGAUGAAGGGCGCUUGCUUCUGGAUUCAGCGGCGGACGGGUGAGUAAUGCCUAGGAAUCUGCUUGGUUGUGGGGGAUAACGUCCGGAAACGGGCGCUAAUAACGCAUACGUCCUGAGGGUGAAAGUGGGGGAUCUUCGGACCGCACGCUAUCAUAUGAGCCUAGGUGGGGUUAGCUAGUUGGUGGGGUAAGGGCCUACCGAGGCGACGAUCCGUAACUGGGCUGAGUGGAGGAUCAGUCACACAGGGGUUGAGAGACGGUCAGACUCCUACGGGAGGCAGCAGUGGGGAAUAUUGGACAAUGGGCGGAAGCAUGAUCCAGCCAUGCCGCGUGUGUGAAGAAGGUCUUCGGAUUGUAAAGCACUUUAAGUUGGGGGGAAGGGCAGUAAGUUAAUACCUUGCUGUGUUGACGUUACCAACAGAAGAAGCACCGGCUAACUACGUG